UACGAGGGGGGCAAGCGUUGUUCGGAAUUAUUGGGCGUAAAGGGCGCGUAGGCUGCGCGGAAAGUUGGGUGUGAAAUCCCUCGGCUCAACCGAGGAACUGCGCCCAAAACUACCGUGCUCGAGGGAGACAGAGGUGAGCGGAACUUAGGGUGGAGCGGUGAAAUGCGUUGAUAUCCUAAGGAACACCCGUGGCGAAAGCGGCUCACUGGGUCUCUUCUGACGCUGAGGCACGAAAGCUAGGGGUAGCGAACGGG
rnacentral:rRNA from 1 species